UCGCCAUGUUGGCCAGGCUGGUCUCAAAUUUCUGACCUCAAAUGAUCCACCCACCUCAGCCUCCCACAGUGCUGGGAUUGCAGGCAUGAGCCACCAUGCCUGGCCAGUUUGAGUGCUUUCUAUCAAUCCACCCUUGUCUCCUGACUCUUCCUCCUCUUCAUAGCAUUAAUUGAGUCCAUCUAGUGAGUUUUAAAUUUUUGUUAUUGUAUUUUUGUUUUAAAUUUUCCAUUUGAGGCUAGGUACUGUGGCUCAUGCCUGUAAUCCCAGCACUCUGGGAAGCCAAGGUGGUAGAAUCACUUCAGUUCAGGAGUUUGUGACCAGUCUGGGUGACAUAGCAAGACCCUGUCUCUACAAAAAGCACAAAAAUUGUGCUCACUUUGGAAGCACAUAUACUCAAAUUGGAACUAUACAGUGAACAUUAGCAUGGCCCCUGCACAAGGAUGACAUGCAAAUUUGUGAUGCAUUCCAUAUUCUUGCCACAGUCUGCUGCCUGUUACUUUGCUUUGCUUCCCUUCCCUGGAUCCUGCCAUAAUGUCACAGGGCCCGUGAGGCCAUAGCCUUCCCGUGUUCAUCUCCCAUUGCACCACUGAGGUUCGCGAUUGGAGAAAAAUCUGGCCAACCCCACUCAGGUGUGGCACCUUGCCACCUGCCCCCUCGUGCAACAAUAAAUAAAUAAAUAAAUAAAUAAAUAAAUAAAUAAAUAAAAGUACAACAAUUAGCCAGACGUGGUGGUACAUGCUUUUGGUCCCAGCUACUAGGGAGGCUGAGGUGGGAGGAUCACUUGAGUCCGGGAGGCAGAGGCUGCAGUGAGCUGAGAUCAUGUCACUGCACACCAGCCUGGGCAACAGAGUGAGACUCUGUCUUAAAAAAAGAGGGCCAGGCAUGGUGGCUCAUGCUUGUAAUCCCAGCUACUUAGGAGGCUGAGGCAGGAGAAUCGCUUGAACCUGGGAGGGGGAGGCUGGAGUGAGCUGAGAUUGUGACAGGGCACUCCAGCCUGUGUGACAAGAGCCAAACUCCGUCUCAAAACCUCAAAACAAAACAAAACAACAAAACAAGGCUGGGUGCAGUGGCUCAUGCCUGUAAUCCUGGCACUUUGGGAGGCCGAGGAGGGUAGAUCACCUGAGGUCAGGGGUUCAAGACCAGCCUGGGCAACAUGGUGAAAUUCUGUCUCUACUAAAAAUACAAAAAUUAGGCCUGGCAUGAUGGCUCAUGCCUGUAAUUCCAGUACUUUGGGAGGGCGAGGCAGGUGGAUCAUGAGGUCAGGAGAUC
rnacentral:lncRNA from 10 species